rnacentral:rRNA from 1 species
GAUGAACGCUGGCGGCGUGCUUAACACAUGCAAGUCGAACGGUAAAGGCGGAGCUUGCUCUGCUGGAUCAGUGGCGAACGGGUGAGUAACACGUGAGCAAUCUGCCCCUGACUCUGGGAUAAGCUCUGGAAACGGCGUCUAAUACUGGAUACGAGCUGCGACGGCAUCUUCAGCAGCUGGAAGGAAUUUCGGUCAGGGAUGAGCUCGCGGCCUAUCAGCUUGUUGGUGAGGUAACGGCUCACCAAGGCGUCGACGGGUAGCCGGCCUGAGAGGGUGACCGGCCACACUGGGACUGAGACACGGCCCAGACUCCUACGGGAGGCAGCAGUGGGGAAUAUUGCACAAUGGGCGGAAGCCUGAUGCAGCAACGCCGCGUGAGGGACGACGGCCUUCGGGUUGUAAACCUCUUUUAGCAGGGAAGAAGCGAAAGUGACGGUACCUGCAGAAAAAGCGCCGGCUAACUACGUG